GUGGGGAAUAUUGCACAAUGGGGGAAACCCUGAUGCAGCGACGCCGCGUGAGUGAAGAAGUAUUUCGGUAUGUAAAGCUCUAUCAGCAGGGAAGAUGAUGACGGUACCUGAGUAAGAAGCCCCGGCUAACUACGUGCC
rnacentral:rRNA from 1 species